UUUCUAGGCAGAGUUCUCUUACAUCU
rnacentral:piRNA from 1 species